rnacentral:rRNA from 1 species
CCCUUAAUUGACGGGUAUCGGGGCGGCAUUUGGAGAGCGAUUAGAGAGAGAAUUAGAGAGGAUAAGGUCAACGUCGGUGUGGCCGGGUUCGAGUAGGUCAAGGGUGCGUGGCGGGCCUCGAGGAGCGGGUCUAAAGGAAGAUGGGGCGGAGCGUGCGACGACGAAGGACGAGAGGGGCGGCAGCUCGUCGUGCCGGCGGGGCGGCCGGUCGAGGCGAGCGACGAAGAGGUUUGGUGUAGUAGAAGAUGUGGACACGCUGGGGGCCCGCUGUUGCGACCACGAGGUAGGACCGCACCUUGCUAGGGAUAGGAGUAGAUACUAAGGACGAAACGGUCCAGUUUAGUCCACGAGUUUCCAGUAGCUGCGGCGGACCGACUGUAGGAUUAGUCACCCUGGCUCCUCAAGUUUCUAUUCCCCCGUGUUGUACGUUUACUCAGUGCCGCCGUUCGUCCGCUUAGUCGUUACCUUUGAUCACCGUUUUGCAGGUAACCACUACUUCUGAUGACCACGUUACUCUUGGAUCGAGUUCUGUUACCCGGACGAACGAAGGAUCGUUCGUUGUGCCGACGAAGCAAUUCGAAGUGCCUCGUUUGUACAUCGUUCAUCAUCCAUAAAAAACGAACCUUUGUCCUUUACUGUACGG